GAAGCCGCGGGGCGGUGCCUGUGGAAUCACCUCGGCAGCGCGGCCGGGCCCGGCCUCUCUCUGUGCCCGCGGCCGUGAGGGGAGGGGGCGGCUGUGGGCGGCCAUGGCCCUUCUCUGCCAUCCCUGCCGUGAGGGGAAGGAGCGGCUGUGGGCGGCCAUGGCCCUUCUCUGCUACCCCUGCCGUGAGGGGAAGGAGCGGCUGUGGGCGGCCAUGGCCCUUCUCUGCUACCCCUGCCGUGAGGGGAAGGAGCGGCUGUGGGCGGCCAUGGCCCUUCUCUACCCUCCACCGUGAGGGGAAGGAGCGGCUCUGCUCGGACAUGGCCCUUCUCUGCCCCGCCGUGAGGGGAAGGAGCGGCUCAGGUCGAGCAUGGCUCUUUCCCCGCCGCCGUGAGGGGAAGGAGCGGCGCUGCGCGGGCCCGGCCGCCAUGCGGCGCCGCCGCCGCCAUGUGGCCUUCAGCCGAUGUGGAGGAUCACGGUGACCGGAGCUGUGAGUGAUCGGGAGCAGCCCUGAGGUGACCCGACCUCAUCGGGUGAAUCCCCCGAGCUGAGCUGUGCUGUGCUGGGACAGCCAAGUGGGGCACCGGAGCCUGCAGAGAGGAGAUGUAAAGAGAGAACCUGCCCGUGAGGCACAGGGAGAGCUCUGGUGCAACGUGGGUGAGGUGAAUUGGUGUGGGGCUUGCUGGAGCAGCAGGAGUGGUCAGAAGAAAAGCUGUCAAUGCUGCUUUGAAUGGUGUUGAGAUGAAAACCUGGAGACCACAGCUUAAAUGGGACACCUGGAAAAGAAUUUGUUUUCAGGAUGUGGAUGUAGGAAUUGGAAACAUCAAAGGGGAUUUGGGGCAAGGUGUAACAAGAAUGACAUAUACAAUUUAUUGUUAAUAUCCUCUCACUGCUUGUUUAAAAUAUAUUUUUAUAUGACCUCAAUUAAACAUAUUUAUAUUUUA